rnacentral:rRNA from 1 species
UACGUGGGGGGCAAGCGUUGUUCGGAAUUACUGGGCGUAAAGGGCUCGUAGGCGGCCAACUAAGUCAGACGUGAAAUCCCUCGGCUUAACCGGGGAACUGCGUCUGAUACUGGAUGGCUUGAAUCCGGGAGAGGGAUGCGGAAUUCCAGGUGGAGCGGUGAAAUGCGUAGAGAUCUGGAAGAACACCAAAGGCGAAGGCAGCAUCCUGGAUCGUUACUGACGCUCAUGUGCGAAAGCCAGGGGAGCGAACGGG